UUCAAGUGCUGAAGGGAGCAGAGGUUCACUUGGGCAAUUGCCUAUAUGCUGGAAUUGGCCAGCAUAUCCCAAUUCUUACCUCAAAUUAAAUGUGAAGCAUACCUCAAGUUCUUCCGACUCCAUUUCCACAUUCCAUACUGAAAGGAUUUACAGAUGAAAAGCUGAAUUUUGAUUGAUAGUUGGAUUUGUGAUCAUGCAAUAGCACAGUCUACACCAAGUCCAGUUCCUUAAGUUUCUCUGCCAACGAAGAACUCACUUACGGUAGGUUUGUGUGAUUGAAAAGCAGCCAGCAGUGAAAGCACCCAGAUGCCAUUUCAAUGGCUGCCUUUUUAUGCUACAGAUCAGACCACAGAAGGGCAAACCACCCUCAUGCAUCUGUUACAUAGACACCGAUUCCACAACAACCAUCUGAAACAAUGGAAUUCUAUGCUGGCGAUGGUUGCUGGCACUAAGAAAUGCCUGUAAUAUACAAAGACUAAUAUUUAUUCGAAGAUGUAGCAUCUUUAACUUGACUUCAACAUCCUCAGGUACAGGAUAAUGUGUGUGAAAGAGUAUGUGACUAACAGAGAGAGAUGGCCCAGUGAAGUGUUAGUCAGUGUACACUCCCAGAAAAUGAUUUAUUUUCCAUCCACCAGCAAAACGUAUGGUGGGAAGCACAUCAGUCAUUUGUAGCCACAAAAGAUUAGCUUUAUUUGUCACAUGUACAUCAAAACAUCUAAACAUACAGUGAAAUGCAUCGUUUGCAUCAACGAUCACAGUCCGAGGAUAUGCUGGGGGCUUAUGCUUCCGAUGCCAAUAUUGCAUGCCCACAACUUAUAAACCCUUUCUAAUCCAUAUCUAUUAGGAAUGCUGGAAGGAACCCAGUGCACCUGGAGGAGACCAAAGCAGUCAUAGGGAGAGCAACAAACUCCUUACAGACAGCAGCAGGAAUUGAACCACAUUCUUACAACAGUCACUGUAAAGCAUUAUGGCAGCUGCUAUAUUACCACACUGCCCCUUCAGCCAAGGCUAACUGCAGAAAAAUACUCAAGAUAGUGCUGCCACGACAAAAUUUUCUUUCACUAGAGUAUAGACACAAGAUAUUGCAGCAACAGGCACAUUCCAGUUUCCACCUCCUUGUCUUCCUUCCUCUGUGAACAAGGAAGAACAAGGAGAGUAUUCCAAACCAACUCUGAACUUGUACCUUGGAUGCCUUUAGUGAGUCAGUGCUACAGAAAGCCAACUCAAUUCUGUGAUCACAGAGUGUGACUGAUCCAACUGAGCUUCUGGUCAGCAGAAACUCAGAAAGGUGCCAGAAAAGGGCCAGUGAUAUCAGGAUCCCACCCACACUGCUCAUGCACUGUUUCACUCCCAUCAGGGAGGCUAUGCAGCAUUCAUGCCAGGACCACCAGACUACUUCCCCCAACAGUAAGGCUGAUCAACACCUCCACCAACUAACCCACCUUUCCACACCCCCAACCACUACUACUUUAUCAGUUCCUGUCAGAGUCACCUUAUGUACAGACACCCCUGUGCCUAUUGUUAUCUUAUGGACAUACAAUCAAUCUAUGAAUACAAGCUAUCUUAUGGAUUUGUAGUUAUUGUGUUCUCUGUCUUGGUAUUUUUCUGUGCUUUAUCGGAUCUGAAGUAACAAUUAUUUUGUUCUCCUUUACACUUGUGUAUCUGAAAUUACGUUAAAGAGUCUUGAAACAGCAGCUCCCAGGACACUGCUGCUGGAGGAUAUGGUGACUGUGUAGGACAAGUGGUCUGAAUGUCUCUGAUUGAAGAUGGCCAUUGCCUGGACACUUUAUGCUGAAAAAAUUGUCAGACAAAAGAGACAAAAGAGAUUGAAGAUGCUAGAAUCUGGAGCCAAAAAAUAAAACCACCAGAGGGUCUCAACCCAACCAUUCCUUCUCCCAUCAUAAGUGCUGCUCAACCCGUGAGUUCUUUGAGCAGUUUGCUUUUUAAAUAUUAGGCUUUGGUCUAUGAACACUACCUUGUCAUUCUUUCCUUAAUUGUGACUGUGUUUGUAAUUCAUAGUGAUUAUGUUUAUGUCUGCACUACACCGCUGCUGCAAAAUGACAAAUUUCACAUUAUAUAAAUCUCUGAUAACAAAUCUGACUUCAAAAAUUAUUUAUGUAGUUACUGUCACAUCAACUUUGGUAUUCAGCUCUUCAUCACUAGGCCAAGACAGUGCUGAUGUCUGGAGCCACAUUCAAAAAGAUAAAAGAGAUUUUUAAAAGAUUAGCUUUAUUUGUCACAUGUACAUUGAAACAUACAGUGAAAUGUGUCAUUUGUGUUAACAACCACCGUCUGUACAUGAGUCAAAGGCAGCCUGCAAGUAUAACACUUUCAACACCAACAUAGCAUGAUAACAACUUAUUGAUCCUUACCAUAUAACAAUUACAGCACAGAAACAGGCCAUCUUGGCCCUUCUAGUCCAUGCCGAAUGCUUACUCUCACCUAGUCCCACUCAGCCCAUAACCCUCCAUUCCUUACCUGUCCAUAUACCUAUACAAUUUUACUUUAAAUGACAUGUUCAGAAUGUGGAAGAAUGCAGAAGGAAACCCUCAGGGUCACAGGGAGAAUAUACUCCUUAUUGACAGCAGUGGAAUUGAACUCCAAUCAUUGGUGCUAUGCAAGCCGCCUUAGCCAGUAAAUUGGAAAUAUUUGCUGCUUCAGAGUAUUAUUGACAACGCAUUCCUGAUGACUGAGGGUUGACCAAGUCAUUUUGGCUAGAGACUGGUUCUUAAGAUGGCAGAGAUAUCAGAAAGAAGCUGGCUUUUCCAGCUGAACAUUAUCACAAGUAUUUCAUCCUUGCCUUUAGUAAUCACACCCUAUCAUCACUGACGAUGGGCAUGUUCAGGAAGCCUGUUUAUUAACUGCUUAAUCAUCCACCACCAAACACAAAACAACACACAGUCACAUUGCAGUACAUCUUCCAUCAACGAUAUUGGCCAGUUUUUCCUCUAUCCAUUUGUCAGCUCUGACCUGCUGGGCACUUCCAACAACUUGACAUUUUGCAGCUUCUUGUAAUUUAGUGAUUAAUCACAUCCUGUAUAAAGGGCAACUGUUAUAUUUUUUAUUUAGAGAUACAGCACAGUAACAGGGCCUUGCAAUCCCAUGAGCCCAUGCCACCCAAUUACAUCAUUUGACCAAUUAACCUACUAAACCAUACAUGUUUACAAUGUGGGAGGAAACUGGAGCACCCAGAGGAAACCCAUGUGCUCAUGGGGAGAACACACCCCGUGUUACAGACAGCGGCAUAAUUGAACUCAGGUCACUGGAGCUGUAUUGGCAUUAUAUUAACCAUUACGCUACCAUCUACCCAGAUCUUACAUGUCUUUGUCUUCUCUCUCCAACUAACUUCAUUUAAUCACUUUUAUGUUCCUUGGUUCAAAUUUGCUCUCUCUGUCUUCACCUGCAGCUUAACCAUAAAACCAUAAAACAUUUAGCCCAUCGAAUCUGCUCUGCCAUUUCAUCAGGGUUGAUCCAUGUCCCUCUUAACCCCAUUCUCCUGUCUUCUCACUGUAACCUUUCAUACCUUCACUAAUCAAGACCUAUCAACCUCCGCCUUAAAUAUGACCUGGCCUCCACAGCUACUUGUGGCGUGGCAACAAAUUCCACAGAUUUACCACUCUCUAACUAUAGAAAUUCCUCCAAGUCCCUGUUCUAAACGAACAUUCUGUUUAAGGCCUUUGGUCCUAAACUCCCACACCAAAGGAAAUACUCUCUUCAUAUCCACUCUAUCUUUGCCCUUUAACAUUCAAUAGGCUUCAAUGAGAUUAUACCCCUCCCCACCCUCAUUCAGCAUUACAUCCUUGCUUUUAUAUUCAAAUCCUCUUGAAAUGAAUGCUAAUCUCACUACUGGUUCAACCUGUAAUCAACCUUUAGGGAAUCCUGCACAAGGAAUUCCAAAUCCCUUUGCAGCUUGAAUUUUUGAAUUUUCUCUCCGUUUAGAAAAAAGUCUAUGCUUUUCAUCCUUCUACCAAAGUGCAUGACCAUACACUUCCCAAUACUAUAUUCCACCUGCCACCUUUACGCCCAUUCUCCCAGUCUAAGCCUUUCUGCAGCCUCCCUACUUCCUCAACACUACCUGCCCCUCCACUUGUCUUCGUAUCAUCCACAAACUUAGCAACAAAGCCAUCAAUUUCAUUACCCAAAUCAUUGACAUACAAUGUAAAAGAAGCGGUCCCAACACAGAACGCUGUGGAACACCACUAUUUACUGGAAGCCAAUCAGACGAGGCUCCCUUUAUUCCCACUCUCUGCCUCCUGCUAAUCAGCCAAUUCUCUAUCCAUGUAAUACCAUGGGCUUUUAGCUUGCUUAGCAUCUCAUGUGUGGCACCUUGUCAACGGCCUUCUGAAAAUUCAAGGAUACAAUAUCCACUGAUUCUCCUUUAUCUAUCCUGAUUAUUAUUCCUCAAAGAAUUCCAACAGAUUUGUCAAGCAAGAUUUGCCCUUGAGAAAACCAUGCUGACUUUGGCCUAUUUUGUCAUUGACCUCCAAGCAUCCCCUCUCAAUCCUGACUCCUUCCCAUCAAAGUUAUUCUGUUUAUCCUAUCCACCCCUCCCUGUAACUAAAACUGAUUUGUGCAGGAUUUCCCAGUGACCAACCAUUUUAAUUCUAAUUCCCAUUCCAACAUGUCAAAUCAUGGCCUUCUCUGCUCCAUAAUGAGGCCAGUCAGGUUGGAGGAGCAACAGCUCAUUUUUCAUCUGAGUAGCUUUCAAACUAUCAACUUCUCCAACCCCUGGUAAAUUUUCUGCCUCCCCCUUCCCUCUUCUUCUAUUCCUCACUCUGACUCCGUUUUUGUGUCUUCUUGUCUCCUCACCCCCAGCACCCCUCCUUCUUCCCAUGGUCCACUCUCCUCUCCUAUCAGAUUCCUUCUUCUUCAGCCUUUUAGUUUUUCCACCUAUCACCUCCCAUUAUAUGCAGAACUAAAAGGGCUAAAACCGAACUGACUUAUUGGCAGUUUGGCAAGUUGCGCUGUGAGAAUAAUGUAUGAACAAAGAAGUGUUUGUUGCAUGAGAAAGCUGCUGUGUACCCUUAUCAGAGUAUGUACGUGAUAACAAAUUGUUUAACAGCAGCCCCAGACAGUACUCGGGUGCUCACCUGAUUUGCAGAUUUUCUCAAGCUCUGUGAGCAGGGCUCUGUAGUUCAACUGAGCAACACAAGCUUGCUAAUAAACAGUAUGCAAUUUUCAGUAAACUGUGUUUGACAAUUAUUCCCUGGGCCUGAACCUAAAGUUCUCUGAUAGAGAGGCAGUUUGACACCAGCUUCUUACUUCAUCCCCCCUUGCCUCCCUUCUUAUUCUGGCUUCUUCCCCCUUCUUUUCCAGUUGUGAAGAAGGGUCUCAGCCUAAAACACCAAAUGUGUAUUCAUUUCCAGAGACGCUGUCUGUCCUGCUGAGUUCCUCUCCAACAUUUUGCGAGUGUUAAACUCGUUUUCACUCUCCCAGUUCUGAUGUCUCUGACCUGAAAUGUGGUCACAACCUGCUGAA